rnacentral:rRNA from 1 species
UGGGGAAUCUUCCGCAAUGGACGAAAGUCUGACGGAGCAACGCCGCGUGAGUGAUGACGGCCUUCGGGUUGUAAAGCUCUGUUAAUCGGGACGAAAGGCCUUCUUGCGAAUAGUGAGAAGGAUUGACGGUACCGGAAUAGAAAGCCACGGCUAACUACGUGCCAGCAGCCGCGGUAAUACGUAGGUGGCAAGCGUUGUCUGGAAUUAUUGGGCGUAAAGCGCGCGCAGGCGGAUAGGUCAGUCUGUCUUAAAAGUUCGGGGCUUAACCCCGUGAUGGGAUGGAAACUGCCAAUCUAGAGUAUCGGAGAGGAAAGUGGAAUUCCUAGUGUAGCGGUGAAAUGCGUAGAUAUUAGGAAGAACACCAGUGGCGAAGGCGACUUUCUGGACGAAAACUGACGCUGAGGCGCGAAAGCCAGGGGAGCGAACGGGAUUAGAUACCCCGGUAGUCCUGGCCGUAAACGAUGGGUACUAGGUGUAGGAGGUAUCGACCCCUUCUGUGCCGGAGUUAACGCAAUAAGUACCCCGCCCGGGGAGUACGACCGCAAGGUUG